ACACUGCUGAGGAGUCCCAUAAUAGGACGAAACAGGUGUCCAGUGC
rfam:Schistosoma mansoni strain Puerto Rico chromosome 1, complete genome